AUUGAACGCUGGCGGCGUGCCUAACACAUGCAAGUCGAGCGGUAACAGGCGUAGCAAUACGUGCUGACGAGCGGCGAACGGGUGAGUAAUGCUUUGGAAUCUUCCCAGUAGUGGGGAAUAACCAGUCGAAAGAUUGGCUAAUACCGCAUACGUCCGAGAGGGGAAAGCGGGGGACCGUAAGGCCUCGCGCUAUUGGAUGAGCCAAAGUCGGAUUAGCUAGUUGGUAGGGUAAUGGCCUACCAAGGCGACAAUCCGUAGCUGGUCUGAGAGGACGACCAGCCACACCGGAACUGAGACACGGUCCGGACUCCUACGGGAGGCAGCAGUGGGGAAUAUUGGACAAUGGGGGAAACCCGUGAUCCAGCGACGCCGCGUGUGUGAAGAAGGCCUGCGGGUUGUAAAGCACUUUUAGUGGGGACAAAAGCCACCGGCUAACACCGGGUGGUCUUGAUUUAACUCACAGAAAAAGCACCGGCUAACUCUGUGCCAGCAGCCGCGGUAAGGUCGUCAUGU
rnacentral:rRNA from 1 species